UACAGAGGUGGCAAGCGUUGUUCGGAAUUACUGGGCGUAAAGGGCGCGUAGGCGGCCCUCUAAGUCAGACGUGAAAUCCCCCGGCUUAACCUGGGAACUGCGUCUGAUACUGGAGGGCUUGAGUAUGGGAGAGGGAUGUAGAAUUCCAGGUGUAGCGGUGAAAUGCGUAGAUAUCAGGAGGAACACCGAUGGCGAAGGCAGCACUCUGGGCCGGUACUGACGCUGAGGAGCGAAAGCGUGGGGAGCAAACAGG
rnacentral:rRNA from 1 species